AGGGGGCGGCACGCUCUGGAGGAGGCGGCGCGCACGGAGAUGCCCCGCGGAGGCCAGUCUCGUGGCUUGAAGAGGAAAAGAAAUUGGGAUGUAGAAUACCCAUCCUUUCCAGGAGAGAGUCCACUGCAGUGCAGACGAGCAGGUCUCAGGACCGUGGGGGCAGAAGCUUCCCUCGCUGAAGCAUGGCUCAGGUGUGGAGAAGGAUUUCAGGAGACUCCUGAGACUCAGUCAUUAACAGCUGAAAAGAAGACUACUACAGAAAAACACCUUGAAUUAUCCUCUGGACCCAAGACAGAACCUACCACAUCUAAGAGUGCCAGUGGGCUUACAGCUAUAACAUGGAGUUCCAGUGGAAGUGAUCUGUCAGAUGAAGAUAAAACCGUUUUUAAAUCGCAGAGAGAAAAUGGACAUGGUUCUAGAAUAGGCAGGUUUUAUAGCAGGAAUAUUUUCUCUCCAGAAGAUGGGGCCAGUGAAGAUGAUCUCCAGGUUAUUGACUGGGAGAUUGACAGUGACAGGGAAGAUACACGUGAUGAAUUUGAAGACCGUGACAGUGUGGUGGAAAUAUCUGACCAUGCUUCUUGUACAAGCAGUCGUUCUUUGACACCUCCAGAGACGCUACCUGAACUUCCUAAGACAAAUCCUACAGAAAUUUUAGAGUAUUCAUCAGAUAGUGAAAAAGAUGAGUCGGAGAAUGUCUUGUUCAUUGAUUCAGUAUCCUCUCACAAAUACCACAUGGAUUUUGGAUCAGAUGGAAGCCAGGUUAUGGAGAGACUGAUAAACCCGAGGGUAAAAUCUACAGAGACCAUUUUGCAUACACCCCAGAAAGAGACAAAGCUUCCCAAGACUCCAGAAGAUUCAGCAAAGAAGAAGAAGCUUUUAAGAGGCGGGCUAGCAGAAAGACUAAAUGGACUGCAGAAUCGAGAGAGAGCUGCCAUUUCUUUGUGGAGACAUCAGUAUCUUUCUUACCAAAGGACACUUUCAGGUAUAAAAUCUGGUAUAUUAACUGUGAAAAUUCUAGAGCUUCAUGAGGAAUGCACCAUCCAAGUUGCAAUGUGUGAGCAGUUAUCGGGGCUGCAGGCUGACAGCUCUUCUCAGGGUGGGGCCCCUGGGACUGGCCUGAAGGUUCUCUUCGCCAAGGAGACUGCACGCUGCCUCAGGGGACUUCCACAGGACAUCAUCCAUAUCUACCCUCCCUGGCAAAAGCUUAUUAUCCCAGAUGGAAGUUGCCCUGUUAUUCUGAAUACUUACUUUUGUCAGAAAGUUGUUGCCAAAGAAGAUUCAGAAACAACACAUGAAGUGCACAGUCGGGACACACCCCUUCCAAGAAGAAGCAUCAUUUUGGCCCAGAUGUUUAGAUUUAAGAGCCUAACAAAUAACUCACCUGAAAACCAGGUUAUGUGUGGUGGUCACACCACCGUGGGCACAGACUGGACCCUCAGGCACGAACGGGCAGAGCUGGGCUUCCCGGCCCGAGCUCCCCUGAGGGAUUCUCUGCUGGAUGCAGUCGAAAGCCAAGGAGUUGCCACCUGGUCGGGAGCCGGGGUCCGAGUGGUGGUGCAGAGAGUUUACUCUCUUCGCUGCAGGUGUCAGCAGGCAGAUGGCACAGACCCACCUGGAGUUCGGAGAACACAUGUGGAAGAAGUAGUACUUCACAGUCAUCCUGUCCUUACAGUGCCUUCUGAUAUUUUUCAGAAAGAGCAGGCAGGGAACACUGCUCUCUUAACCAUUUCAGUACAACCAGUGUUCAUAGCGGCACUACUUACAAUAGUCAAGAGUUGGAAGCAACCUAAAUGUCUGUCAACAGACGAAUGGAUAAAGAAGAGCAGCUAAAGACACCGCAGACCGCUGAUGGUGGAAAUGCAGACUGAGGGACUAACAGGAUGGAAUGGCAUAUGGUGCUCUUCCUCCAGAACAGCAGUUCAGACAUGUCAGCAGUGGAAGAGCCCAAAGGGAGGACGGCAGUUCCUGCUCAUCAGAGGCACACAGGCUGCCCCACCUGCUCUUCUUUUGUGUCUGCCGCACCCACCAGACUGUGCAGUGAUUGUAUUGAUUGACCCGCUCAGCAUCACAUUUCACAAGGAAAUCAACUGGGUUUUUGAUAGAGAUUGUGUUCGAUGUGUACCUCAAUUUGAAGAGAAUUGCUGUCUUACCAGUACUUAGUCUUUGGAUCCAUAAACAUGGGAUGUCUUCUCAUUUAAUUAGAUCUUUAAUUUCUUUCAUCAGUGCUUUGUAGCUUUCAGCCUGAAAGUCUUGCAUUUCUUUUGUUAAAUUUAUGCCUAUUUUCUUUUUUUAUACUAUUGUAAAUGCAGUUGCUUCCUUAAUUUCACUUCUGAUUGUUUAUUGCUAACGUGUAGAUAUGCAAGUGAUUUUUAUAUAUUGGCCUGUGUUCUAAAGUCUUGUUGAAUUUGCUGUAUUCGCUCUCAUAGUUUUUUAGUGGAUUCCUUAGGAUUUUUCGCACAUAAAAUCAUGCAGUCUUCGAAUAAAGAUAGUUUUACUUCUUCAUUUCCAAACUGGUUGUAUCUUAUUUCUUUCUCUUUCUUAAUUGUCCUGGAAGCGCUUUUAAUUGUCUUGAGGCAGAAAAAUAGAAAUGGCUAUUUGAAGCUGUGGUGUUUUCACAGUAGCUCAUCCUCUUACUCAUUUCCCUCAGUCUCUUGAGGUCCUGUGCAGACUUCACUACCAUCUUACACCACUUGCCUUGUGAAGUCUCUCUUGAUUUCCCCCGUAGAAAUAGUCUCUUCUUCAACGUGGUAGGAUGAAAAAAACCAAAUUUUUGGAAGCAGACGAACUUGGGUUUGAAUCUGAACUCUUCUACCUGCUAGCUAUAUGUUCUUGGCUAAAGAUAGGUAGGCAGGUAGAUAGGUAAUCUUAACUCUCUUCAUUUUUGUAACAGCCCCAUGCAGUUAGCACCGUCACUGUCAGCCUUGUAUGGUUGUUUUGAAGAUUCAAUGAGAAAACAUUUAUAAAAUGCUUGAUGCCGAGGAGACACUCUUAACACGAUUUGCUUUUUGACUUAAAUUAUGGUCAUUUGUAUUGUGGUUAGUUACAGAGGUGUCAGUCUUUAAGGUUGUCGGCUCCUUGCAGGUAAGGAUUACGUGUAGGAGUAUUUAUUACUGCAUCUUGUGCAAAUAUUGUGCCUAUUAUAUAUCCCUAAAUAUAUUUCAGUUUGAUGUAUUUCUUUUUGGUAUUUAUGGUGGUUUGUCUUUGUGUAUCAUUUCUCCCCUUCUAGAUGAAACAAAAUGGAUCCAUUUUCCUACCCUUUAUCUCUUCUUUAAGCUUUUAUCAUUUUAUUGGUCUGGUAUCAGGUUACAGCUAGCUGAUUGAAAUUUGAAAGGUUUCAGAGUAGAAUCAGAGCUGUGGAUAAUCUGAAAGCAGUAUGUU